UCCAGAUGGCGAUGGCGUUGGAAGCAGCUACAUCGAAGAUAAUGAGGACGCCAGCAAGAUGGCCGAUCUCCUGUCGUACUUCCAGCAGCAGCUCACAUUUCAGGAGUCUGUGCUCAAACUCUGUCAGCCUGAGCUUGAGACCAGUCAGACUCACAUAUCAGUCCUGCCUAUGGAGGUGCUGAUGUACAUCUUCCGAUGGGUGGUGUCAAGUGACUUGGACCUCAGAUCGUUAGAGCAGUUGUCACUGGUGUGCAGAGGAUUCUAUAUCUGUGCCAGACCCUGAAAUAUGGCGUCUGGCUUGCUUGAAAGUGUGGGGCAGAAGCUGUAUGAAACUUGUCCCAUUCUCAUCCUGGAGAGAGAUGUUUCUAGAACGGCCUCGUGUUCGGUUUGACGGCGUGUACAUCAGUAAAACCACAUAUAUUCGCCAGGGAGAGCAGUCUCUUGAUGGUUUCUAUAGAGCCUGGCACCAAGUGGAAUAUUACAGAUACAUAAGAUUCUUUCCUGAUGGCCAUGUGAUGAUGUUGACAACCCCUGAGGAGCCUCCAUCCAUUGUUCCCCGUUUAAGAACCAGGAACACCAGAACGGAUGCAAUUCUGCUGGGUCAUUAUCGCUUGUCACAAGAUGCAGACAAUCAGACCAAAGUAUUUGCUGUGAUAACUAAGAAAAAAGAAGAAAAGCCACUUGACCAUAAGUACAGGUAUUUUCGCCGUGUUCCUGUCCAAGAGGCAGAUCACAACUUUCAUGUGGGGCUGCAGCUGUGCUCCAGUGGCCACCAGAGGUUCAACAAACUCAUCUGGAUCCACCACUCUUGUCACAUCACUUACAGGUAGGUGACUGCAGUGAAGACUGACAGUUGACCUUCCGGGGGACCCAGGUCCAGUUUUCGGCACCCAUAUGUUAGCUUACAGGCGUCUGGAACCCCAGUUCCAGGGUCUCUCAUGCUUUCUUCUGGCCCUCACAGGCACAAGGCACACAUGUGGUGUACAGACACGGUGUAGGCAAAAUAAUCAUGUACAAUUUUAAAAGAAAAAUUCAAAAAAAUUUACGCGAGACUAGCAUCAAAGUAGACUUUCUGUCUGGCUUGAGAAGCCCGGUAUGUUUGGAAUUCUUCAGUGUCUUUUUACUAAGUACAACUACAGUGUAAAACUAUAAAGAACACCCCCCACCCCCCAAAAAAAUAUAAAGAUUGAGCAUCAGGGGAGGUGGAGCCUUGGCUGCCCUGCCCAGUCACACCUCAGACAGGGAAGUGAAGCGUGCACGCUGGAGUGAGGGAGCCGACGGCUCACACCCACUCAGAAGCGAAGGGAGUGUGCGCCCACCUAGGGCUGAGCUCUCUGUAGGCCAGAGGUUCAUUCUCAGGAAUUAUACAAUGAUUCUAAAAAUUAUACUUACAAAAGUAGUCUGUCAUUAAAAUGGUGCUCUGUGUAUCCCAAGGCCAAAUGUAUCAGGUAGGUGAUACCCGUGUAAAAGUCUUAAUUCUGUUUGGUAAGGUUUAUUCUGUAUUAGGUAAUUAAGAGCAUCAAAAAGGAGCAGUACAGAAAUAAGAAAGAGUUUAGAAGGCAGCAGAGAAGGGAAACGCUAGGUCAUGUGACUGCCAGUUAGCAGGUGGGGAGCUUGAAGGAAGAAUGGUGUUCUGGGCUCUCCAUGCAGGUUGAAUCCAGAGUUCUGAGAGGGCAGCUUUGAAGCAGGCUCCCGAUCCGCUCUCAGUCC
rnacentral:lncRNA from 1 species